UUGACUCAACGCGGGAAAUCUUACCAGGUCCGGACAUAUUGAGGAUUGACAGGCGAUAGUAAUAUUAUUAUAUAAUAUUGCAUAAAAAUGAUAGUCCUUUCAUGAUUAUAUGAUAGGUGGUGCAUGGCCGUUCUUAGUUCGUGGAGUGAUUUGUCUGCUUAAUUGCGUUAACGAACGUGACCGUAACCUUUUAUUGCUAUAAAUAAUAUAUAUUAUUUAUAUUAUAAUAGCAUAAAAUUAAAGGGACCGCUGUCUAAAUUUUAGUGUUAAAAUAGAGUAAGAUUACGGCAAUAACAGGUCUGUGAUGCCCUCAGAUGUUCUGGGCUGCACACGUGCUACAAUAAUUACAUUAAUAAGUAUCUAUUAUAAUACAUAAUAUGUUUACAUAUUAUAAUAAACCUAUUUCGAAAGUAAAUGGGUAAUCAUUUAAAAAUCGUGAUUAAGGUGGGGAUAGUGUAUUGUUAAUUAUUACACUUGGCCUUAACUAGGAAUGCCUUGUACUCUUCUUUGGUUUAACAU
rnacentral:rRNA from 1 species